UGUCCUCUGAGUCAUGAUCCUCUGGGAUGAGGUUACCACUUGCACCUCCCAGUCCCAGAUGCCUCCGGCUCAGUUUAUUCCAUUGACAAACUGCUGAGGUGGCUCCUACCUGGGCCCUCUGGGAUGUGUGGAUCUGAUCCACUCACCACCUGCAGCAGAAACAGGCUGUAGCUGACAGCACCCUUUGUGACGUUGCUGCUUCAGGAUGACAUCUAUGAGGGAUGCUCUGGUCCCCACCGGCGAUGUACAAAGGUUGGGGAAACCAGAUUUCUGGGAGGAGUGACAGACUGCACAUUGAGAUACUCUCAACAAACAAUGCCAUCUAGAAUUGUCACAAAAACAGUGAUACUCUAUGCAGAGACCGCUAGAAAUUUACUAUCUGUGAUACUUGUAGCAGAGUAAACACCAUGUAUAAUAAAAGAACUCCUCUUAUUGAUAGCUGCUUCAUUUAAAGGGUUUGCUUUCCCCUUAAGUUUUGAAAACAACAGCAUUUUAUUCUUAAAUAAAAAUGGUGAUGAAAGACA